AAAGCAGCCGAUCUCCUUCCCUGCCUCUCUCGGUGGCUUUGGGCAGCGUUACCCCACCGGUGUUGCGUAGGGUCGGGGGAUUGCACGGGGAACCCCUGCCCGGUGCGUUGGUGCUGCAGAUGGCGGUGGUGUCGCCGACGCUGCGGGUGUCCCCGAGGCGUUCUCACCUCCUGGUGGCAGUGCCAGCCCGGCCCGAGGCGGGGUGCGGCAGUGGUUCUGCCCUACAGGCCGUCCCCGUGAAAAGCACCUUAGGAUCAGCCUGAAGUGAAGGCGCAUCCUCGGCGGGCCGGGAUGAGUCACGGCGGCGGCAGCAGCGCUGGAAGAGCAUCAGCACACGAUCCCCCCCGAGGCUCCGCGGCUCCGCAUCGCCCUCCGCCAGCGGUUCCGCUCCGCACGCACGCAGCUCUCUGCCCUCGGGAAAUGCCACGUCCUCCUGCCAGGUGGAGGAGCAGCGAGGUGGGCGCCGGCCCAGCAGGUGACAGUGGGACCGCAGCGCCGCAGCCCCAAACCGACCCCCUCCAUCCCCCCCUCGUAACGCAGGAGCUCAGCGCCACGGUCCUCAAGCAGCAGCGGUUAACUCCCUGAUUACACACCCUGCACGGCCAGGCCGCUUUGAGGAGUGCAAUUAAUUAACGUUUGCAUCCCUGGCGCUUGCUGACCCUGCCAGACUCGGAGCAAAUCGGCCUCUGCCGACGGGUAAUGGGUUUGCUGCAGGACGAGCUAUUUCCGAGCCGGCUUUGGAAGUCAUUUGGGGUGGCUGCCGGGCGGUGCAGCCCCGUGUUGGCUGCUGGGGCUCAUCCGGAGCUCGGGGCAAUGGGCAAUGGGCAGAGGUGCAGAGGGAGCAAAGCAAGCUGUGGGGUCAGCGUGGGUCGUGCUGGGGUGCUGCUCUGGGGGCAAUGCAGGCGGGCUGGAAAGCACACACAGGUUUCCCUUGCGCAGCACAAACCCCAUCGCGUGGGUGGCACGGGUGGGAGGCAGAGGUGCGGGGACGGGACAUGGGGGUGAGCUCCCAGCCCAGAGAGGGGCAAACCCCAAUAAACGAAUGGG
rnacentral:lncRNA from 7 species